CUUUUGCAAAUUAAAAAAAAAGGGGGGGGGAAGAAAGAAAAAAGCUCUGCCUCUGCCUCUCAAUUUAUUUGCCUACUCUCUGGCUGAUUUGGUGAUUGAUUAAGGAAAAUGGAAAAAUCUCACAUCAGAUGAUUCCAUAGAUGAAUGGUACAUGUGCAAUAAUAAAUAAUAGGCACAAUGUGAAUGAAAGAGGAAAUGGACAGAUGCAGCAAAGGAAACAACGUUCCUUUGAAGAUGGAAGACAUAAAUCAGGAUAAAUUUUAAAUUGAUGAGACGUCUAACACUGGAGAAGGAAUCUACUUCCUGUGGUAAAGGAUCCCCCACUCUUCUUAAAUGGAGGAAAGAGGCAAAAACCCACAUCCCAGCAGAUCAACUGAGGCAUCCACUCUGCCUCUUCAGAACAGGUGUUUGGAGAGGAGGGGAAUGAACCUAAAUUUUGAAAAUGCUCAGCCAUGGAAAAGCAGAAGUCACUGACAGAAACAGCGAUGACUGCAAGCUCUUGAACAGGGAAGGUGAUGAGUCACAAAAGGAAACAUGUAAUUAAGAAAGCUUCUUGCCCAGGAGCAUGUGGAGGGAGAGUUGGAUGAAGAACAUACAGCAAGAAUUUAGAUGCAACAGCCAUACUGGAGGCUGGUGGAACAGUGUGGUGGAGUGAAUGGAGACUUCUGGAUGCCUCAGUGGCACUCCACAGGCUCUGGAAGAUCCUAUCUUUCUAAGAGGUGAUGAGGUGUGGUUUCAGCGUAUUCCAACUUUGGACUCAUUAAUUCCCACCAAUAAAGGUGAAAAAAACUGAUCGAUAGUCCCCGAACAUAUUCUAAAUGUCUGCGAAGACCUUGAAAAGACUGACAGAGAACCCUCCUGAAGCUAUUUGUGACACUGUGCUCAGAGACGUGGCCUGAGUGUGCAAGGCCUGAGGGUGCCACAGGAGAAGGGAACACCAUGUCAUUGCCACUAUGCACACUUGUCACCAAAAUGCAGGAGAGGAGGAGGCCCCUGGCAUGGGCGGGGCAGGUGGAGGUGACAUGUUCUAAUUCCCAAAAUAGCAUAUGAUUACCCGUAAUGAACUGUUACAGGAAGUUCAGAGCUGUGUUCUCACCAACAACCUCAGAGAAGUCACUUGGAACAAAAGUCUAAAGAAAACAUUCUAGGGUUCAGUCAUAUGGGCUUCCGUUGAUGAGGUACACGUUGGUUUGAAGCCGACGUUGUCUUUGCCCACACAGAAUACAUAUUGCAUUUUUGAAUCUGAAGACAAAGACUAGUGAAUGUUCCUUUUUUAUUAAUUUUCUGAAAGCCAACUAUUUUAUAAAGUGAAUUUGGAAGCCUGAGGGCGGGUUGUCUUCCUUCUCUCACAGACCCACCCCAGCCUGAUCUC